AUUGAACGCUGGCGGCAUGCUUUACACAUGCAAGUCGAACGGUAACAGGUUAAGCUGACGAGUGGCGAACGGGUGAGUAAUGCAUCGGAACGUGCCCAGUCGUGGGGGAUAACGCAGCGAAAGCUGCGCUAAUACCGCAUACGAUCUGAGGAUGAAAGCGGGGGACCGUAAGGCCUCGCGCGAUCGGAGCGGCCGAUGUCAGAUUAGGUAGUUGGUGGGGUAAAGGCGCACCAAGCCAACGAUCUGUAGCUGGUCUGAGAGGACGACCAGCCACACUGGGACUGAGACACGGCCCAGACUCCUACGGGAGGCAGCAGUGGGGAAUUAUGGACAAUGGGCGAAAGCCUGAUCCAGCAAUGCAGCGUGCAGGAAGAAGGCCUUCGGGUUGUAAACUGCUUUUGUACGGAGCGAAAAGGUCUCCUCUAAUACAGGGGGCUCAUGACGGUACCGUAAGAAUAAGCACCGGCUAACUACGUGCCAGCCGCCGCGGUAA
rnacentral:rRNA from 1 species